GCCUGGGAUAGGUCAGUCAGCAGAGCAUGGGACUCUUAAUCUCAGAGUUGUGGGUUCAAGUCCUGUGUUGGGCA